CAGCCAUGCACCAGCAGAGACAGGGGACAGGGACACAGAGCAGUACAGCCAGCCAGUAAGCAGCCAUGCACCAGCAGAGACAGGGGACAGGGACACAGAGCAGUACAGCGCCAAGCCCCAAAACACGACCAUGACUACUUUCCAGACAGAAUACACAGACUAGAAAUAAGGGGAUCUGAGAGGGGAAGAAGGGGAAACUGUUGUCAUGUUAAUGGCUCUACAAUUGUCUUCGAACACUGUGGAAAGGGAGAGAAGUGGUGGCUAAGGGAAGUAUACUGUAGCAAUCCAGUGUGGGGUGAUCCAAUGUAACCAAGAACAUUUCACACAUAAAAUAAAAGGCGAGUUUGGAGAACCGAAUUAGUCCGGAGAAAGCGGCGGGGGGGGGGGGCACCUCCUGUUUUUUGUUAGAUCAUAAACUUUUUUUAGAGGCUGGGGGAGGGGAGUUGUGCAUAGAAAUAGACUUUAAAACUAGAUCAGCAGUACCAAGCUAAGCAGGCAGAAUUAGACCACUGGGCAGGGUAAGAGAUGGGGCUGGGGUGUGAGGGUUAUAGGGGGAGGUUAGGGGUGAUUGUAGCCAGUCUACCUUCCUUCUGUGUCUUGGCGUCCUUAGAGCCCGAGGCGUCAGGCUAGGGGGGGUUGGGGAGGAGGGGGAGGUAAAGGUUGAGGACAGACCAAACGAGGAACGAGAGGAGAAGACGACAGUGUGAGAGAUGAGAGCAAGAGAGAGAGCAGGAGGUACUUUAGGACAAGAGGGAAUAGAGUUUAGUGCAGCUAAAGACCGCGGACCGGCCGCAGGACAAGACCGCGGACCGGCCA
rnacentral:lncRNA from 1 species